GGCCGGAUGGCGCAGUGGUUAGCAGCGCUGACUCUUGAUCCGAAGGUCCCGGGUUCGAUUCCCGGCCGGGGCA
rnacentral:tRNA from 1 species